rnacentral:rRNA from 1 species
UACGAAGGGUGCAAGCGUUACUCGGAAUUACUGGGCGUAAAGCGUGCGUAGGUGGUUCGUUAAGUCUGAUGUGAAAGCCCUGGGCUCAACCUGGGAAUGGCAUUGGAAACUGGCGACCUAGAGUGCGGUAGAGGGUAGUGGAAUUCCCGGUGUAGCAGUGAAAUGCGUAGAGAUCGGGAGGAACAUCUGUGGCGAAGGCGACUGCCUGGACCAGCACUGACACUGAGGCACGAAAGCGUGGGGAGCAAACGGGG